AUCUGGGCCGUCGCUGGGGCUUCGUGAUCCGCUUCCUGGGUGCCAAGGGGCUGCUGGGCUGGGGCCAAGGCGGGCAGCAGCCCUCGGAGACCGUGGCGCGGAGGUGUUUCUGCCAGUUAGCACCGUUGGAGAGAAAACUGAGAAUUGAGAAGAAGUACAGGGGUUUCAUAUGAGAAAAUCUUUGGAUUUUCAAGAGAUACCACACAUUACAUCAUCAUCAUCAUCAUCAUGGUUAUUAUUAUUUACUGUGGAUGAAUCCAGUGAAGUAUAAAAGAAAAG